AGCUAAAUGCGGAAGAGAUAAGUGCUGAAAGCAUCUAAGCACGAAACUUGCCCCGAGAUGAGUUCUCCCUGAGACUUUAGGUCUCCUGAAGGAACGUUGAAGACGACGACGUUGAUAGGCCGGGUGUGUAAGCGCAGCGAUGCGUUGAGCUAACCGGUACUAAUGAACCGUGAGGCUUAACCUU
rnacentral:rRNA from 2 species